UAAUCAUAUGCUUGUCUCAAAGAUUAAGCCAUGCAUGUCUAAGUAUAAGCACCUUAUACAGUGAAACUGCGGAUGGCUCAUUAAAUCAGUUAUCGUCCCUUUGAUAGUGCCCUUGCUACUUGGAUAACCGUAGUAAUUCUAGAGCUAAUACAUGCUGAGAGCCGUACCUCCCAGGACGGGGUGCGGCGUAUUUAUUAGAUAAGAAGCCGACCCAGGGGCAACCCUGGUCAUCGGGUGAUUCACGGUAACUUCGCGAAUCGCACGGCCCAGUGCCGGCGAUGAUUCAUUCGAAUCUCUGCCCUAUCAACUUUCGAUGGUGGUGUAGUGGACCACCAUGGUCGUAACGGGUGACGGAGAAUCAGGGUUCGGUUCCGGAGAGGGAGCCUGAGAGACGGCUACCACUUCCAAGGAAGGCAGCAGGCGCGCAAAUUACCCAAUGGCGACACGCCGAGGUAGUGACAAUAAAUAACGAUACGGGUCCCGACAAGGGUCUCGUAAUCGGAAUGAGCACAAUUUAAAUCCCUUAACGAGGAACGAUU
rnacentral:rRNA from 1 species